AACGAGACAACACGUUUUUUCAUUUUGCUCCAGAUUGACCUCCACCCGUUUUUCCAGACUAUUUCAAGUGACGACGAGGAUAAAACUUAAAAGUUUUUCGUCGAGUGAAAUUUUUUAAAAUCUUUUUGAUGCGAUUUUGCAUCGCUUUUGGUGCGUGCUUAUAAUAAACACUGAACAAACAAAAUAAGAACAGUUUAGUUGUGCGGAAAUCUUUAGAUUUCUUUUUUCCACGUGUUAUUUUUUUUCUCUACGGAUCAAAGUGCUUUGCCAUCUGCUGCGAACAUUGUAUUGUUCCGAGCGAUACGGCGUUGUUCCUGUUUUGAGGUUACGUGCUGCGGUCUGUGCUAACCGUGGUUUUUCCUGAAGAAAAUCUCAUCGUUUGUGGAAAAGAAUCAACUAAAAAAAAAAAGAAGAUACACCGGAGGAUUUUACCAUAGAAGUUUGGUUUUGGCAGGUUCGUUUGUUGGCCUUAUUUUAAGGCAUUUUAAGACGAAUCUUUUUUGUACUAGCUGAUAUCAGAUACUACUUGGAGGAAGGAUAGUUCUGGCACAUCGACGGCAAUUGAAGUUGGCACCCACGUCUCGCCGAAAACCUUCAAUACAUCUAGUCUACCACCAAGACCACCAAGAACUACCACAUCAGAAUGAUUUUUACAACAACAGCAAACGGAAGAGGGAAGAAGAUGCAGAGGACCCACAAACAGUUUCGGAUUCGAGCUCCGAUUUUUACGGGUUUCCCGCAGAUUCUUACAUUUACUCGGACGUCGACCAACCAGAAGAAGCAGGAUCAAUUUUUGAAGCCAGUCCGAAUGAGAAGAUUGAAAAUCAUCGUAAAUCAUCGAGAAGUUUAAAAAGACGUCGAAAGUCUGAUUUCGUUUAUUACUAAAGUUAAUUGAAACCUCAAAAGUUCACUGGAUUUAUUUUUCUUUUUGCAAUUUUUGUAAGAUUGCUUUCAUAUUUAAAGUUUUGCAUUUUCGAAUGUUCUAUAAAAAGUUAUUUUAGUUAUCAACAAUGUUCUUAGAUAGGGUGAAGGAGUUGAAGUAUCCACUUUUAUCGUGUAAGCGAUGUUCGAAUAGAUCGGUUUCAAAUGAUAUGCCCUUUCGAAAGGGUUCUAUGUUUUUCGAUGUCAAAAAUGAUAGGAGAGUGAGAGAGGAUUAGAAUUGUACAA